ACGAUGAACCACUUCGGUGGGGAUUAGUGGCGAACGGGUGAGUAACACGUGGGCAAUCUGCCCUUCACUCUGGGACAAGCCCUGGAAACGGGGUCUAAUACCGGAUACGAGUUUCACAGGCAUCUGUGAUUCUGGAAAGCUCCGGCGGUGAAGGAUGAGCCCGCGGCCUAUCAGCUUGUUGGUGAGGUAAUGGCUCACCAAGGCGACGACGGGUAGCCGGCCUGAGAGGGCGACCGGCCACACUGGGACUGAGACACGGCCCAGACUCCUACGGGAGGCAGCAGUGGGGAAUAUUGCACAAUGGGCGAAAGCCUGAUGCAGCGACGCCGCGUGAGGGAUGACGGCCUUCGGGUUGUAAACCUCUUUCAGCAGGGAAGAAGCGAAAGUGACGGUACCUGCAGAAGAAGCGCCGGCUAACUACGUGCCAGCAGCCGCGGUAAUACGUAGGGCGCAAGCGUUGUCCGGAAUUAUUGGGCGUAAAGAGCUCGUAGGCGGCUUGUCACGUCGGGUGUGAAAGCCCGGGGCUUAACCCCGGGUCUGCAUUCGAUACGGGCUAGCUAGAGUGUGGUAGGGGAGAUCGGAAUUCCUGGUGUAGCGGUGAAAUGCGCAGAUAUCAGGAGGAACACCGGUGGCGAAGGCGGAUCUCUGGGCCAUUACUGACGCUGAGGAGCGAAAGCGUGGGGAGCGAACAGGAUUAGAUACCCUGGUAGUCCAC
rnacentral:rRNA from 1 species